rnacentral:lncRNA from 1 species
UAGGUGACUAAUUGGUACAGAAUUGAAACAGAAUUUGAUAAAUAUGAUCGAUCGCUGUUUGCGUUAUGUCAGGAGGCAAAUACGAUAAAUUAUGGCUGUUAAGGAAAAUGAGUUAGUUAACAACAGUUAAUAACUUGUAGGUCAUGUUAUGGGGUCAACCAAUAUGAGGAGAAGGACAUUUGGACUACCAAUUAAAAACAAUGCAUGGUGAUACUGUCGAGUAUAUAGUGACAAAAAUGUUGCUUUGACACAUACAUGUGCCAUCUGCGAACCGCCCAAAUUAUUGUUGUUUCGUAUUUUCUUUAACAUACAGAUAGCAUCGUGUUUUGAGACCUAACUUGUUAACGUUUGAAGAGAACGGCAUAUAUGGGGAUUUAAAAUAUAUAUGUUGUGCCCAUAUAAAUCGUAAUCAUAUCACUGGUCUAGUAUGUUUUUAGUUCAAAGUAAUAUUUCAAGCUCACCACAUUGCUGGAUUGAUUUUUGAUUGCCGAACGUUCAAUGGGAAUAAUUGCAUGCAUCUUUCGGUCGGAAAAAUGUUGAUGGUCACACCGAACGUAUGCUCUAUUAGAUAGGGACAUACAUUUAGCCUGUUGACAGGCCACCGACGGAGCCCUAAAAAAGUCGUUGCAAGUAUUCCUAACCUGACCCUCUCUCUACACGAGGCAUCGGAUUUUACGCCCCUUUUCUGACUGGACGUGGGUUUGUACUUAAUAUAUUCCGCACAGCAAAAUAAGCGUCCAAUUUGGCAAGGUUUUUAACAAAUACACACAAAUGACCAAAACAUAUUUGCA